AGUGAACGCUGGCGGUAGGCCUAACACAUGCAAGUCGAACGGCAGCACAGUAAGAGCUUGCUCUUACGGGUGGCGAGUGGCGGACGGGUGAGGAAUACAUCGGAAUCUACUUUUUCGUGGGGGAUAACGUAGGGAAACUUACGCUAAUACCGCAUACGACCUACGGUUGAAAGCAGGGGAUCUUCGGACCUUGCGCGAUUGAAUGAGCCGAUGUCGGAUUAGCUAGUUGGCGGGGUAAAGGCCCACCAAGGCGACGAUCCGUAGCUGGUCUGAGAGGAUGAUCAGCCACACUGGAACUGAGACACGGUCCAGACUCCUACGGGAGGCAGCAGUGGGGAAUAUUGGACAAUGGGCGCAAGCCUGAUCCAGCCAUACCGCGUGGGUGAAGAAGGCCUUCGGGUUGUAAAGCCCUUUUGUUGGGAAAGAAAAGCAGCAGGUUAAUACCCCGCUGUUCUGACGGUACCCAAAGAAUAAGCACCGGCUAACCUCGUG
rnacentral:rRNA from 1 species